rnacentral:rRNA from 1 species
AACGAACGCUGGCGGCAUGCCUAACACAUGCAAGUCGAACGAGACCUUCGGGUCUAGUGGCGCACGGGUGCGUAACGCGUGGGAACCUGCCCUUAGGUUCGGAAUAACUCCCCGAAAGGGGUGCUAAUACCGGAUAAUGUCUUCGGACCAAAGAUUUAUCGCCUUUGGAUGGGCCCGCGUUGGAUUAGCUAGUUGGUAGGGUAAAAGCGUACCAAGGCGACGAUCCAUAGCUGGUCUGAGAGGAUGAUCAGCCACACUGGGACUGAGACACGGCCCAGACUCCUACGGGAGGCAGCAGUGGGGAAUAUUGGACAAUGGGCGAAAGCCUGAUCCAGCAAUGCCGCGUGAGUGAUGAAGGCCUUAGGGUUGUAAAGCUCUUUUAACCGGGAUGAUAAUGACAGUACCGGGAGAAUAAGCUCCGGCUAACUCCGUG